CAAAGGCUUGGUCCUAGCUUUACUAUUAUUUACAACCAAACUUACACAUGCAAGCAUCCGCACCCCCGUGAGAAUGCCCUUAACCCUCUUAUGAGAUCAAGGAGCUGGUAUCAGGCACAUAAAAUUUGCCCAUAACACCUUGCUUAGCCACACCCCCAAGGGAACUUCAGCAGUGAUAAAUAUUAAGCCAUAAGUGUAAACUUGACUUAGUUAAGGUUUUUAGAGCCGGUAAAACUCGUGCCAGCCACCGCGGUUAUACGAGAGGCUCAAGAUAAUAGAAGUCGGCGUAAAGAGUGGUUAAGUAUUAAAAAACUAAAGUUAAACAUCUUCCAGGCUGUUAUACGCACCCGAAGACAUGAAGUCCAUUUACGAAAGUGACUUUACAAAACUGAACCCACGAAAGCUAUGAAACAAACUGGGAUUAGAUACCCCACUAUGCAUAGCCUUAAACUAAAGUAUAGUAAUUACAACAUACUCGCCUGGGUACUACGAGCACCAGCUUAAAACCCAAAGGACUUGGCGGUGCUUUACACCCACCUAGAGGAGCCUGUUCUAUAACUGAUAACCCCCGUUAAACCUCACCCUAUUUUGCUAAAUCAAUUUAUAUACCGCCGUCGUCAGCUUACCUUGUGAAAGAACAAUAGUGAGCAAAACUAGUUAUAACCCAAAACGUCAGGUCGAGGUGUAGUUUAUGAUAGGGAAAGAAAUGGGCUACAUUCAUUUAUUAAUGAAUACGGAUGGUAUAUUGAAACAUAAACCUAAAGGAGGAUUUAGCAGUAAGAAGAAAAUAGAGUGUUCAUCUGAAAUCGGCUCUAAAGCGCGCACACACCGCCCGUCACUCUCCCCAAUAAUAAACUUAAAAUUAAUUAAAACCAAAAUAAAAUACAAGGGGAGGCAAGUCGUAACAUGGUAAGUGUACCGGAAGGUGUGCUUGGAAUAC
rnacentral:ncRNA from 1 species